AAUGAACGCUGGCGGUAGGCCUAACACAUGCAAGUCGAACGGCAGCACAGUAAGGGCUUGCUCUUACGGGUGGCGAGUGGCGGACGGGUGAGGAAUACAUCGGAAUCUACUUUUUCGUGGGGGAUAACGUAGGGAAACUUACGCUAAUACCGCAUACGACCUACGGGUGAAAGCAGGGGAUCUUCGGACCUUGCGCGAUUGAAUGAGCCGAUGUCGGAUUAGCUAGUUGGCGGGGUAAAGGCCCACCAAGGCGACGAUCCGUAGCUGGUCUGAGAGGAUGAUCAGCCACACUGGAACUGAGACACGGUCCAGACUCCUACGGGAGGCAGCAGUGGGGAAUAUUGGACAAUGGGCGCAAGCCUGAUCCAGCCAUACCGCGUGGGUGAAGAAGGCCUUCGGGUUGUAAAGCCCUUUUGUUGGGAAAGAAAAGCAGCAGGUUAAUACCCCGCUGUUCUGACGGUACCCAAAGAAUAAGCACCGGCUAACUUCGUG
rnacentral:rRNA from 1 species